rnacentral:lncRNA from 1 species
CCAGAGUCGUCCACAACUGGACUCAACGGUCAGGGAUCCUUUAGCUCUUAUGUGUUAAGUAUGCACCUAAAAAUGUAAGGUGGUGAUGUAAUGAAAUGUGUUUCCAUUAUCUUCUAAGUACACAUCCCAAGGAGCCAUAAUGUUUACCUCAGCAUAAUGUCAUCAUGGUUUUUCUCUGCUGUUGGGUCCCCACUCCUCAAUUGGUGAAUUGUUGUUAUAUGUAAAUGACUGUAUAAAGAUAAUCUUAAUAUAAGCAAACCUUUGCUGCUGUAGAACUACCAUUAUUUGUGCAGUCUUUUUAGAAUUAGCUAAUGUUGUUCCAGAAGGAAUCAGCUGGUCAUAAACCAUGGCAGCAUGCUCUAAAACUGAUUCUCUCCUGGUCCCUUUAGACCUUCACAGCCAACACUUGUAUGAGCCCAGUAUUUCUGCCUAUGCAGCUGGAAUUGGAGAAUUUAAAAGGAAUUAAGUAGAAGUAUAAGGAAUUCCUAGAACAUCAUCCAAACUCACCAGCUAGCUUCUCAGUAGGGGUUGCCACUUGGCAGUUUCCUCAAGUUAAAUGAACUGGGCUACAACAUGAGUGUGUUCAGCAGUGUAAUCAAAACGACACAAGACUAGGUACUGUUAAUGGCAAAAAGGAUUCCCGCCUUCCGCCACUGGGACAUCAUUAAUCUUUGCAGAAAAGCUUCAGGACCCCUUUCACCCAGAAGAGUCCCAAUGAUGAGACAGAUAAAUUAUAAAACACCAACUCUGCUGAUACCAGGACAAAGUAUGACUGUGAUUGUGUGAGUUCUUCUAUCAGUGGUGAGAGUCAACAUCCAGGAUACUAUAGCCUGCAAAGCUAUAUGCUGGAUGGUUUCUGGGCCCAUUCUUCUUGUGUCUGCAUGCUUAGUAACAUGACCUUGGAUUUGCACAGUGAUACCACAGCCAGGCUCAUGCUGAAGAGGUCAGCUGUUUUGUUCAAAACAAUGAAAUGGUGAUAGAGACAUCCAGUUCAUAUGAGAAAUGGUUGGUGAAAACACACAGCAAGUAGGCUGCAAAAGAACUGCAGGAUUGCUGUGACAAGCAGUGAAGAGCAGAACUGUGCAAUGGAUAAAUCUCAGCCUCAAGAUACUGGUUAGUGUUGCUGUGGCAGGCAGAACAGGGACUGGCAGGAGGGAAGAAAGGUGUGGGAUGGUAAUGGACUUGGCACUAUCAUGAGCCUUGAGAAGAAGAUGGAUUUUACUAAAAGUAGUUGUAUGUUAGCAGAAUGGGAGCAGAAUCUGCAUCAUCCUGGGAGCAUCAAUACUCAUUACCAUCCCAAAUGCCAAACAUUGGGCCUCUUGCUCUUAUUUACAGUUUUGCUAUUAUGAUUUGGACAAAACAGUUCCCUCCCCACUGUGCUUCACUAUUGCCAUCUGUUCAAUAGAAAUGAUAGCAAUGGAAAGAGCAGAUGUUUGCUGUAUGUUUUCAACUUCUUAGGCUGAGUAAGAGCUCAGAUAAGGGCAAGACACUAUGAUAUAAUUCUGCAGGAAAUGAGCUCCAACCACGGGCCAAGCCAAGUGUGAAGUCCCUCAUUGUUCAGACACAGAAUGGAUUUCAGCCCUUCUGACCUACAGUGGCUCACUCUUCCUUCCUUCUUUCCCACCCCGACCCAUUUUUGGUUAUUAAAGAGUUCUGGUGAGUCACCAACACCCAAGAUUAGUGAAUGAGUUGGCCAUUUCAUAUCAAAGCAAUAAGGAUUGUAACAUAUUCACAAGAGAGAGAGAACUCAAUCUCUGCUCUGUAAGGCGGGAUUGGGGAAGAGGGCAGGAGUUCACUAAAUUCCCAUUUCAGCAAGCAAGUGUGGGCUUGUCAGAGGGAGGCAGGGAAGCUUGCGUCUCAUGCCUUGUUUUUUAUAAGGUCAAAUAUUUAAAGGAAUGAAAUGAAAUAUUGCAGGCACGUCCAACAGGUAGAUUGUGAUCAACCAGUAGAUCACUGGACAUCUGUGGUAGAUCACUGGUAGAUCACUGGCUCCCCCAAAGAAGCUCAACAACUUUGACCUGAACCCCCAAAAAGGGGGUAGAUCACUGCCAGUUUUUAACUCUGUGAGUAGAUCGCAGUCUCUUGGGAAUUGGCCACCCCUGAAAUAUUGGAAAGGUUUUUUAAAAAACAUCCAUUACCACAAUCACUGUUGAGUAUGAGACUCUUAAUCUCAGGGUCAUGGGUGUGAGCCCCAUGUGUUGCAGGGGGUUGGACUAGAUGACCCUCAUGGUCUCUUCCAACUCUACAAUUUUAUGAUUCUGUUAUUCUAUGAACCCAUAUCAAAUACCUAGCAUUAGGUCAAGUCUCCCUUACUUAAUUGUUCUUUGCACCAUCAUCACCAGUUUUUCCAGCACAUGCAGUGCAUCGCUUUGCUUCACCCUCAUCUAGCCAUUUUGGCAGAAGGGUUAAGAACGUAAGAUGAGCUAAUGGCCCAUCUAGUUCAGCAUCCUGUUUUGUCACCUGGGCAGGUAAGGUCACGCCCAUCUCUAGUCACAUGCAGAGGAAGUUUGUCCCAGCCCAGGAGGAAACAGGAAGUUUUCUACUGGCUGAACCAAGCAUCCCCUUGCAUGUCCACUCUAGGAAUGAGGACUUGACUGCUGUGUUUCACAUCCCACACUUACUCCCCACAUCCCGCUCAAUUUUUCCAGCUUCCAUGGAAACAUAGAGAUUGAUAAGAGGUUGGAUGCAUCCUUAAACUGGAAAGUGGUCUGUUGAGUAUAAACAUGUUUCCCUAUUUGAUGGCACUGAUUAGGUUUCUAUCCUCAGCUCCAUUUGUAAUUAGUGAUGGUUGGGACUAGGCCAAGAUUCUGAGAAGCCAUAUUUGAAUCCACACCCAUGAGGGUCUUUCUCAACUAAGGGAUUGGGUUUUCUUUUGCUGAACUGGAGAGAUGAAGCUGUCAGUGCAUGCAGAGGAUGCUGCACUAUUGACCGGGCAAAAGCAGAAAGCCAAACACAUCGAAUUUAUUUUAGCCUUAGCCAACAUUGCCUGUCGUUCAAAGGGGCUAAUGCUGGAACUCCUAUUUCCAAGUUCUAUGCCUCUGAGGUGUGUGAGGCUUGAAGCAACACAUUCCUAGGGGGACCACUAAUCUAAACUCCAGUCCAAUUUUGAAUCUCCUAUAGUAGUAAGUACCCUUUUAUAGUACACAAAGUGCUGGUCCGCCCAGUGAAUUUUAUAGAUUAUUAGGGGCUUUCAAUGAAAACUCAGGUGUCCAUAAAGUAUUUUGAGGCAGUGUGUUGGUGCUGGAUAAAAAAAAUGGAUAUUAUUAAAAGAUAAUUAAGUCCUAUCACUAGAGGGUUGGGACAAAAUAUAUGGCUGGCAUGGCUAUUUAUUUUAUGACAAAAAAGAACAACAACAAAAAUUUGCAAAUCACAUAGUAAGAAAGGCUCUAUUGGAUGUCUGGGAAAGAACAAAAGGAAAAAUUGUUGAGAAAACUCCCCAAUGGGUUUCACCAGUGGAGGCAACCACAACAUUAAAGAGUAAUGCAAAAGAGACUUGGCCAACAUAUAGGGAAAUAUUAGAGGAUGCAGACGGAAAUAUUAAAUUAAAAACUUACAAACAAUUACAAACAUUUGGAAUAAAUUGGUUACAAUAUUAUCAAUUAAAAGCAACAUAUG